rnacentral:rRNA from 1 species
AUGCCGGACAGGAGAGGUGUGACCCUGCUCGAGGACCUGCCGGAGGCAAUCAUUGACAGGAUAUUCAUCCGAUUGCCGCCUGACGACGUCGACUGGUGCCGCUCUGUAAGUACUUCAUGGCGCGGCAUCACCUCCACGCCUGAAUUUAUGCUCGAACACCACCGCCGCCAGCCAUCGCUCCCCAUCAUCGACGGGUGCGGGAAGCCUGCCAGUUUCGUCGUCUUCCAAGGCUCUGGCGCUGGCGCCUCCAGUCAACAGCUCUGGCCCUUCAUCCCGGGUUUCAAACACUACCGUAAAAGCCUCGGCUCUCAGUCGCCUGUGAUGGCUUCCUCAUCCUCAUAG